GGCCGGUUAGCUCAGUCAGUUGAGCAUAGUGCUAACAACGCUAAGCUUGCGGGUUCAAUUCCCGUAGCUG
rnacentral:tRNA from 1 species